UCGAGAAUCUUCGGCAAUGGGCGAAAGCCUGACCGAGCGAUGCCGCGUGCGGGAUGAAGGCCUUCGGGUUGUAAACCGCUGUCAGUUGGGAGGAAGGCUUUGUGAAGAGCAAAGCUUGACCUAUCUUCAGAGGAAGUCCGGGCUAAGUUCGUGCCAGCAGCCGCGGUAACACGAACCGGACAAACGUUAUUCGGAAUUAUUGGGCUUAAAGGGUGCGUAGGCGGUUUGGUAGGUGGGGUGUGAAAGCCCUCGGCUCAACCGAGGAAUUGCGCCCCAAACCACCGGGCUAGAGGGAGACAGAGGUAAGCGGAACUGAUGGUGGAGCGGUGAAAUGCGUUGAUAUCAUCAGGAACACCAGUGGCGAAAGCGGCUUACUGGGUCUCUUCUGACGCUGAGGCACGAAAGCUAGGGUAGCGAACGGGAUUAGAUACCCCCGUAGUCC
rnacentral:rRNA from 1 species